UUUUUUUUCUUAUGCUUGCUUGAGUUUUGUUUUAUUUUUAAUGCCCCACAAAUCCUGGGCUCAGGGUGGGAGCCGGGGGUUGGGUUGGGGGUUGUGGAAUUAUUUAAACUCUGACAUCUGGAAACUCCUGCCCCAGACAAAGCAGGAGGGAGGGGGAAAGCUAAUUCAGACACCGCAGGUCAUUCUUGAAGAUAUUUAUGGAACGCCAUGUGCUAUCUAUAGGAAAUCUUCAAGCCUACUGCCAAGAGAAUAGGCAACAUUCUGAAGCAGGAAUUGCUACUUUUUAUAAAAAAGGAGAGAAUAUGUAGUGAAGCCUGAGAUCUAGAGUCUGAGAAGUGGAGGACUGAUUUUAAUCCUCCUUCAGUGAUUCAAGUGAAAGCUGCAAAGUUCUUUUUAGAUGAAAAAAGAGAAAAUAAGUCACCAUUGAACUCAAGAUAUUUCCAGAAAGGUCAUUAGAAGCCAUCAUGUCACUCUCUUUAGUUUUUAUAAGCUGUCCAAGUGAAGACAUGAGCUGGGAGUGUCUCUAUCUUGCACAAAGAAGAUUUGAAAGAAACUAGGGUUAAAAGCCAUGAGCAAGAAGCACAUUUAUCUUUCUUCUUUUUCCCUCUCAAACUCACAGGUAUGUAAAAUUGAUAAUGUCUGGUUCGAAGUAUAGACAAGGAAGACAGAAUCAGAGAGCCGAAACACGCAAAUCCCAAUCUCUUCUCCAGUCCCAGCCUCUCCAUUUUGGCGGUGGAGGUCCAAUUAAUCUUGUUCCCCAAAGCUGGGGAUUUGCUAUGGGGCUCCCCCAAGCAGCAGCUAUGCUCCCGACCAUGUGUAGACACCACUGGAUUUCACCCUGCUUUCUAAUCUGGCCACUGGGACUCUGGUCUACACUUGAACUCCAGCUCCCUCUUCCUGGAAGGUUAGGCCUUGUCCCCAAAUCCUAACUGCCACUUCAACGUGGCCCCCUGCCUUCCCAUUACCAUUGUCUCUAUGGCCUAGAUAUCUGUUCCUGAGUUCCUUCAGAUUGUGGGCCACACUAGCUUUGGGGAUGUGCUGACCAGCCCUAUCCACCCCCACCUCAUUCCUUCCUUCACCCCCUCUCCUGAGGUCCACGUAAUCGCUUGUCAUUUCAUGUAUACUGCACCUAUUCUGUUCCAGUCACUGUGCAAGGCGCUGCAGUCACAACAUUAGAUUAGGCAGGACUCUGCCCUCAAGGAGCAGACUAGUAGAAGAGACAACAGGGCGCCUGGGUGGCUCAGUCAGUUGGGCGUCUGACACUUAAUUUCAGCUCAGGUGAUGAUCUCGGGGUCAUGGGAUAGAGCCCCCGCAUCGGGCUCUGUCCUGGGUGUGGAGCCUGCUUGGGAUUCUCUCUCUCCCUCUCCCUCUGACCUUCCCUCCUCCCUCUCUCUCUCUCCCUCUCCAAGAAGAAGAAGAAGAAGAAGAAGAAGAAGAAGAAGAAGCAGCAAAUCAGGGGAUCCCUGGGUGGCGUGGUCCUGGAGACCAGGGAUCAAGUCCCACAUCGGGCUCCCUGCAUGGAGCCUGCUUCUCCCUCUGCCUGUGUCUCUGCCUCUCUCUCUCUCUCUCUCUCUCUCUCUGUCGUUCAUGAAUAAAUAAAUAAAUAAAAUCUUAAAAAAAAAAAAAAGAAACAAGUCAAAGAUUACCAGGAUUGCUGUGAUAAGGAAGUGGACCCUAGUAACCCCACAUUCUCCUCCUCCCGCUGACCUUUGAAGUGGUCUUCAAUUCUUGCACAGGUUCUGGGCCAGUUUUCACAAGAGAUGACCCGUUGGGCUCAGUGGACUGUUAAAACAUAGAAUUCCUUUUUAAAUGAGCAACAUAGAAUGGUCAAGUAUUAUCAAGGAAUAAUAAUUUCAAGAUCACUACUGGCCAAACUCCCAAAAGCCUGGUGCAUAUUUACAGAGGAUUGUUGGAGGGACAAGCAGAUUAGCACUUUAUAGAACUACUAUGAACCGUGGAACCUUCUUGAGGUCCCUGAGGCCUAUCCCUCAGGAUAUCUGAGGGCCUCCAGCAAACCUCUAAUUUAGGCGUUUGAUAGAACUUUGAGGGGUCCAUGGAACACAGUUUGUUCUGGGCAGGCUAAAAUUUAGCAGAAUUUAGCAGAAGAGGGUAGAUAGAUGCCACUCUGUUCUUGAAAUGCCCUCUUCUUUUGAAUUCAUCCACACUGCUCUCUCCCGAGCUCCUUCCUGUAUCCUUGACUGCUUCUUAGUCACUUCUGAAAGUUACUUUCUCUUGGCAUCCAAAACUGAACCCACCAACGUCCCCCACCAAAGCUUAGUCACGCCCCAGCCUCUGCCCAUCUCUCCAGGCUCAUCCAGGCCUCCACCCUCGCUCUCCCCUGGCACCCCGAACUGCAGCCAGACUGGACGUCUUUCGGUUUCUUAGAUUCACCAUACCUGCACUCACAUCCUCACUUUUACACACCAUGUCCCCUCUCCCUAAAUUGCUUGAACAUGGACGGGGGUGCAUGCACAUGCGUGCGCACAUGCACACACACACACCUUUCCUUAGGUGUGUUCACGUUUCAGGUGCCUCUUGUCCCAGGAGGACUUCACUGACCCUACGUCUGCUUGUGGCUUGCCCCUGUUGUGCACUACCAGGACGCCCUGGACGACUAAUUUUGCUGUAAUGUUCAUACACUCUGGGAAGUGCCCGCCACCAAGUAAAAUGAAUUAAAUUUCCCUUUCUGAAAAGUGAGUGUUCUCAAAGUGAAUUGAGGGAUGCGCUCAGAAACAGCGCCAAGAAACACACUGCUGUGUACUCUGUGAGGAUGCUGGUGAGGAUGUUGCGCAUCAUUGGUCUAGAACCUUCUUCCUGAUGACCUCGGGUGGGUGUUUCAUUCCACCGAUUUAGCAAUCGUUGUGCUUCUCCUGGAAGGGGUGUUUUAUCUUAGAGAUGUUUUCAAUUUGUAAAGAAUCAUGUUACCCCUGUUCUCUUGGCUGCUAGAAACCUAAAAGCUAAAUUGGGUCCCACUCUUUAUGGAAUUAAUUUGACGACUCUAUCUCCUU
rnacentral:lncRNA from 1 species